UCCUCGGUAGCUCAGUUGGUGGAGCACUGGACUAAAAAUUAGGAGAUUGUGGGUUCGAGUCCCGCUCGAGGAA